UACGUAGGGGGCUAGCGUUGUCCGGAAUCAUUGGGCGUAAAGAGCGUGUAGGCGGCCCGGUAAGUCCGCUGUGAAAGUCGGGGGCUCAACCCCCGAAUGCCGGUGGAGUACUGUCGGGCUAGAGUGCGGAAGAGGCGAGUGGAAUUCCUGGUGUAGCGGUGAAAUGCGCAGAUAUCAGGAGGAACACCAAUUGCGAAGGCAGCUCGCUGGGACGUAACUGACGCUGAGACGCGAAAGCGUGGGGAGCAAACAGG
rnacentral:rRNA from 1 species